rnacentral:rRNA from 1 species
AAUCAACGCUGGCGGCGUGCCUAACACAUGCAAGUCGAACGAGAAGGUGACUUCGGUCACUGGAUAGUGGCGUCCGGGUGAGUAACACGUAGGUAAUCUACCUUCGGGUGGGAAUAACGUCUCGAAAGAGACGCUAAUACCGCAUAAUGCAGCGGGCACCUAAUGGUGAUUAGUUGUUAAAGCGGGGGAUCUUCGGACCUCGCGCCUGAAGAGGAGCCUGCGGCAGAUAGCUAGUUGGUGAGGUAAUGGCUCACCAAGGACUUCGAUCUGUAGCUGGUCUGAGAGGACGGCCAGCCACACUGGCACUGACACACGGGCCAGACUCCUACGGGAGGCAGCAGUGGGAAUUUUGGGCAAUGGGCGAAAGCCUGACCCAGCAACGCCGCGUGAAGGAGGAAAUCCUUCGGGAUGUAACUUCACAAGCAAGGGAGAGCGCGCA